rnacentral:rRNA from 1 species
CCCGCCGGCGACCGGCGCACGGGUGAGUAACACGUAUGAAACCUGCCCGUAGCAGGGGGAUAAGCGGAAGAAAUUCCGUCUAAUACCGCGUAACAACCCAUGGAGGCAUCUCUGUGGGUUUAAAGGAAGCGAUUCCGGCUACGGAUGGUCAUGCGUCGCAUUAGCUUGUUGGCGGGGUAACGGCCCACCAAGGCGACGAUGCGUAGGGGUUCUGAGAGGAAGGUCCCCCNCACUGGUACUGAGACACGGACCAGACUCCUACGGGAGGCAGCAG